GACAGAGGGUGCAAACGUUGUUCGGAAUUACUGGGCGUAAAGCGCGUGUAGGCGGCUCGAUAAGUCGGAUGUGAAAGCCCUGGGCUCAACCUAGGAAGUGCAUUCGAAACUGCUGAGCUUGAGUUCUGGAGAGGAAGGCGGAAUUCUUGGUGUAGAGGUGAAAUUCGUAGAUAUCGAGAGGAACACCGGUGGCGAAGGCGGCCUUCUGGACAGCAACUGACGCUGAGACGCGAAAGCGUGGGGAGCAAACAGG
rnacentral:rRNA from 1 species